rnacentral:rRNA from 1 species
GCUCCUGGCUCAGGAUGAACGCUAGCUACAGGCUUAACACAUGCAAGUCGAGGGGAAACGACAUCGAAAGCUUGCUUUUGAUGGGCGUCGACCGGCGCACGGGUGAGUAACGCGUAUCCAACCUGCCCACCACUUGGGGAUAACCUUGCGAAAGUAAGACUAAUACCCAAUGAUAUCUCUAGAAGACAUCUGAAAGAGAUUAAAGAUUUAUCGGUGAUGGAUGGGGAUGCGU